UGCUUGAUGAAUGGAAUAUUCCUGAGGAUGUAACGAGAAAUUUUAUUGAUAAUGGAAUUACUCCUCAGCUGUUAGAAACAUUAGCAGGAGAUCUGCUUCAAGAAUUAUGCCCACACAUAGCCACAAGAAUAAAAUUAAAAAACAAAAUUAAUGCAUUCGUAUUAAAUUUAAUUAAUAACAAGGAGCUUGAUGAUAGCAGAAAUGCUAAUACUCACUCUAAUGAGAUUCAUGAGUCUGAUAAUAAAGGGUCAGGUCAUAAAGAAACAGAAAUACAUGAUGAAACUGAAAAUCAAAUCGAUUAUUUUCGUUCUUAAAAUUUAAAAGAACUAUUAACUUUUGCUCCGGAUGGGAAAAAUAUCUUAACUGAUUAUGAACAGAAUCAAAAGCUAAACUCAACUAAUCAACAAGCAUUAGUUGAUAUUAUUGGCCGUUUUCUGUUUCCUUGGCUGGAAAAAAAUAAUUACUUAUUGUCGAUCUUGUACAAGUAAUUAAAAAUUCGGUCCAAAAUCUUUUUUGCUUUGGUAAUUCUCACUACACCAUUCUCAUCUUUGCCUAAAAGUUGUGCGAUACCAGCAUAUUUUUUUUUUUUUUGUAAGUAUCUUCAAGCUGUUCAAAGGUUACAUUUGCAACAAUCAUUUUUUUUCUCAUACCCACUGAUACACAAUCUUUUAAUAAUUCUAGAUCUUUUAAAGCUUUUGUUAAAUUUUCUGCAAAUUUUAUUUUAUUGCAUGCAUCGUCCCAAGUAAAAGAAGAGCUGAUUAAAUCAUCUGAAGUAUUAUUCAAUUUUUUUAAAACUUCACUCAACAUCAAAAAUUUUAAACUCAGGCGACAGAAAUUAUCAAACUUGAACCCAUCAAAAAAAGUCGAAACUAUUGACCUUGAAAUCGAUAAACUUAUUGAUAAACAAAAGAAAAUUUCAAGAGAACUCGAGAAUAAAGAAAAUAGAGGAAGAGACAGUACGAAGAAUAAUAAAGAGUUACUGAAGAAGGAACAAGAAUUACAAAAAAGAGAGAAGAAAGUAGAGGCGAGAGAAAAAAAAAUAUUGGAGUACAUGGCUUACUUGAAAGCAACACAGCCAAGAAGAUUAAUAAA